UUGGAUGUGGUGCAUGGUGCACAUCGGCUCUUGGUAGCUCAUUGUCAUACUAAUCGAAGCUGAAGAACGGGGUUCGACUCCCCGCAUCCGAA